rnacentral:lncRNA from 1 species
CUGAUAUUGACCAGAAGAAGUUUGGCGGCGAGACACCUUACAGGUGAGGACUGACACGUUCAACUUCAUGACCAUUUGUUUUAGUUUCCUAGCAACGCGAUCAUCUUUGAUCGGUUUGUUUGUUAGUUGGUUGGUUGAUUAGUCGUGCUGUUCCUGUGUUUAUGUUACUUUUUUUUUAAUUCCAGCAUUAUGUUUGGGCCGGAUAUCUGUGGGUACGCCACCAAGAAGGUGCAUGCUAUCCUCACCAAGAAUGGCAAGAACCAUCUGAUCAAGAAGGAGGUGCCGUGCGAGACAGAUCAGCUGACACAUGUGUACACAUUGAUCAUCCGUCCUGAUGCCACUUACAGCAUUCUAAUUGACAACGCCGAGAAGCAAACUGGCAGCAUCUAUGAUGACUGGGACAUUCUCCCUGCAAAGAAGAUCAGGGAUCCUGAAGCCAAGAAGGUGAGGUUCAGAGAUUACUGUUCUAAAUGUUAAGUUUUUUUCCGUCACAUUUAAUAACAUUAAAUGGUUAAUGGGUUGCAGCCA